rnacentral:tRNA from 1 species
AAGAUACUAGUAAAAUGAAUAUUACAUUGCCUUGUCAAGGCAAAAUUGUAGGUUUAAAUCCUGCGUACCUUA